rnacentral:lncRNA from 1 species
AUUUUUUGAAGGAGCUAAUCUCCUAAUUUACUAUUUAAGAAUGGCUUGCAUUGAUUUCUAGGUGGAAAGUUAUAUAAUUCAUAAUUCCGUCUAAUAUCAAGUGUAUUGCCGGAUAGCAAUUUCGGUUGUAACCUGCCACCGAUAUCCGGAAAUGAUGAGGUUUAAUGUCUUAGUUCAUUAAUUUUCUUGAUUUGUUAAUUUAUUGAAGUGGUUAGAAUUUAUUACAAGCACAUAAGCUACUGCACUCAAAAGGAAACUACCGAAUCUGUCAGUAUCAGCAGCAGAUUAUAUGGUAGACAUGUUUGAAAUCCGUGUGAACAGUAUUAGUCGAGGUAUGAUUUAUUUUGCACUUGGAGAGACGAGUAGGAUCAUUAAAUCAUCUUUAAUAAAUGAACAGCUAAAACAAAAGUCCUCUGCUAAAUCAAAUCUUCGGUAGGAUAAUAGAUAAUAGAAAGUUUAUGUUGCAUUGGACUUGAAUAGACAAAAAUAAAAUAGAAUCGAUGGAUGUAUCUUGCUCAUCAAAAUUUCCGCACUAUCAAAAUUGUACUGAUGAUUAAAUUAUAUUGCAGUCACUGGGACCAAAAGGGCGGAGCUUUCGGUCGAUGACAAGAUCUGUGGGCGUCAAACCUGCAGCGGAGCAUACGACCAUAGAGUUGUCGGGAAGAGACCGACCGGGCUUGAUUUCAGAGGUCUUUGCAAUUCUUGCUGACCUCAAGUGUAAUGUACUUGCUGCCGAAGUAUGAAUGUAAUGUGCUAACUAAUGAUAAAGAGUCCCUCCAAAAACUCUAGGUAAUGGUACAGCUUAAGAGCUACUGCAAUUUUAACCAACGCACCGCAACAAUUCAGACCCUUUUUUCUCCUGCCUCAGAAUCCAGACCCAGAUUACAUCUAACGCUAUCAGAUUACAAGAGAAAUUUCUUUAGAAACUGUUACAUAAGACAGAACAGAGCAUUUUUCAGUCAGUUUUUGUGUCAAAUUUUUGAAAAAAAGAAAUAUGGAUUACUGGUCAUCAUCUGUUAGCGUUGAUGAUGAAUUUGAGAAGCUUGUUCUUAGAAUGAACCCACCAAGGUAAUUUGGUUCUUUGUUUCUUGUUUAUGCUAUAUGUGUGAAUAAAUUUUAUUUUCCGUAACUGGUCAAUUGUGUUUCUCUUUUGAGACUGUAACUUUUAUGACUGAAAAUGGUAAAUUUUGAAGAAUCUGACAAAAGGUAUGGUUUUUGAAUUUUACUUCUGAUGUGGGUUAUUGUAGGGUAACUGUUGAUAAUGCAUCAAACAAUAAAGCAACUUUGAUCAAGGUAAUAGAAUUUUGAAUUUGAUUAAAUUAAGAAAAAUGUUAUAUUUGGGGAAAAUUUUGGUAUGAUUAUAUGUUUUUUGUCGGAUUUUUCAGGUAGAUAGUGCAAAUAAGAGAGGAAGUUUGUUGGAGGUGGUUCAGGUUCUUACUGAUCUGAACCUGAUAAUAAGGAGGGCUUACAUUUCUUCGGAUGGGGAAUGGUUUAUGGAUGGUAAUCACUUUUUUUCCUUAAAAUUUACUUAUAAUUGAUUUUGAGUCUAAUUCUUUGAUGGUUGAUUUUUUUGAUUGUCAACUGCAGUUUUCCAUGUUACUGAUAAACAAGGAAAUAAGGUCUCCGAAGAUAACAUUGCCGAGCGCAUUCAGCAGGUACAUACCACAAAAUGUUAAUAGAUUAUGCGGUUCGUGCUGAUCACAAGAUUGUUAAGAAAUUUUUUGAAGGAGCUAAUCUCCUAAUUUACUAUUUAAGAAUGGCUUGCAUUGAUUUCUAGGUGGAAAGUUAUAUAAUUCAUAAUUCCGUCUAAUAUCAAGUGUAUUGCCGGAUAGCAAUUUUGGUUGUAACCUGCCACCGAUAUCCGGAAAUGAUGAGGUUUAAUGUCUUAGUUCAUUAAUUUUCUUGAUUUGUUAAUUUAUUGAAGUGGUUAGGAUUUAUUACAAGCACAUAAGCUACUGCACUCAAAAGGAAACUACCGAAUCUGUCAGUAUCAGCAGCAGAUUAUAUGGUAGACAUGUUUGAAAUCCGUGUGAACAGUAUUAGUCGAGGUAUGAUUUAUUUUGCACUUGGAGAGACGAGUAGGAUCAUUAAAUCAUCUUUAAUAAAUGAACAGCUAAAACAAAAGUCCUCUGCUGAAUCAAAUCAUCGGUAGGAUAAUAGAUAAUAGAAAGUUUAUGUUGCAUUGGACGUGAAUAGACUAAAAUAAAAUAGAAUCGAUGGAUGUAUCUUGCUCAUCAAAAUUUCCGCACUAUCAAAAUUGUACUGAUGAUUAAAUUAUAUUGCAGUCACUGGGACCAAAAGGGCGGAGCUUUCGGUCGAUGACAAGAUCUGUGGGCGUCAAACCUGCAGCGGAGCAUACGACCAUAGAGUUGUCGGGAAGAGACCGACCGGGCUUGAUUUCAGAGGUCUUUGCAGUUCUUGCUGACCUCAAGUGUAAUGUACUUGCUGCCGAAGUAUGGACUCAUAACUCUAGAAUGGCUUCGGUUGUUUAUAUAACUGAUGAAGAGAAUGGAUUGGCAAUCAAUGAUCCUGAUCGGCUUGCUAAGGUCAAACAACUUCUCCUUUACGUUCUGAAAGGAGACAGAGAUAGGCGAAGCGCCAACACAGAAGUUUCUGUCAGUUCUACUCAUACAGAGAGGAGGCUGCAUCAGAUGAUGUAUGCUGAUCGUGAUUAUGAUAAUGAGAAUAUGGAUUGUAUGAUACCUGAUCGGAG